CCUACGGGGGGCAGCAGUGGGGAAUAUUGGGCAAUGGACGCAAGUCUGACCCAGCAACGCCGCGUGAAGGAAGAAUGCUUUCGGGUUUUAAACUUCUUUUAAGGGGGAAGAGCAGAAGACGGUACCCCUUGAUUAGUCCACGGCUAACUACGUGCAAGCAGCCGCGGUAAUGCGUAGGUGGCAAGCGUUUUCCGGAUUUACUGGGUGUAAAGGGCGUGCAGGCGGAAGGACAAGUCAGAUGUGAAACCAACGGGCUCAACCCGUGAACUGCAUUUGAAACUGGUUCCCUUGAGUGUCGGAGAGGUAAUCGGAAUUCCUUGUGUAGCGGUGAAAUGCGUAGAUAUAAGGAAGAACACCAGUGGCGAAGGCGGAUUACUGGACGAUAACUGACGGUGAGGCGCGAAAGCGUGGGGAGCAAACAGGAUUAGAUACCCGGGUAGUC
rnacentral:rRNA from 1 species